CUGGCCACGACGUAGCGUUAGCUAUGUAGGGUUUGUAUAGGUCACCGCCUACAGUCAUUUUGGUCCAGUCAAACGCAGCCAAUGUGUGUGCAUGCAUGCUUGUCUUCCAGCUCAGCUUUUGCAAACAUGAUUCUACUAACCAGUAGUGGUUUAAUGGUUAGGUGAUUCUACUAAUCAGUAGGGGUUUAAUGGUUCGGUGAUUCUACUAAUCAGUAGGGGUUUAAUGGUUUGGUGAUUCUACUAAUCAGUAGGGGUUAAAUGGUUAGGUGAUUCUACUAAUCAAUAGUGGUUUAAUGGUUAGGUGAUUCUACUAAUCAAUAGUGGUUUAAUGGUUAGGUGAUUAUACUAAUCAAUAGUAGUUUAAUGGUUAGGUAGGUGUGGCACAUUUGGUUUGGCUGAAUGAGUAUCCCACUGCCCCAUUCAGAG
ensembl:lncRNA